GGCGAGGUGGCCGAGUGGUUAUGGCGCUAGUUUCAGGUACGAACUACCUGGUUCUACCAGGGUAUCUACUAGUUCUUCGGAGCGUGGGUUCGAGUCCCACCCUCGUCA